rnacentral:rRNA from 1 species
UUCAGUUGAAUGAAGACCGUACCGUAAACCGGCACAGGUGGGUAGGAUGAGAAUUCUAAGGCGCUUGAGAGAACUCAGGAGAAGGAACUCGGCAAAAUAGCACCGUAACUUCGGGAAAAGGUGUGCCCUUUGUAUGUGUAGCGCCUCGCGCGUGAAGCAGAAUAGGGUUGCAAUGAAAUGGUGGCUGCGACUGUUUAUUAAAAACAUAGCACUCUGCAAACACGAAAGUGGACGUAUAGAGUGUGACGCCUGCCCGGUGCCGGAAGGUUAAAUGAUGGGGUGCAAGCUCUUGAUUGAAGCCCCGGUAAACGGCGGCCGUAACAAUAACGGUCCUAAGGUAGCGAAAUUCCUUGUCGGGUAAGUUCCGACCUGCACGAAUGGCGUAACGAUGGCCACACUGUCUCCUCCUGGGACUCAGCGAAGUUGAAAUGUUUGUGAAGAUGCAAUCUCCCCGCGGCUAGACGGAAAGACCCCGUGCACCUUUACUGUAGCUUUACAUUGGACUUUGAUAACAUUUGUGUAGGAUAGGUGGGAGGCUUUGAAGUGGAUUCGCCAGAAUUCAUGGAGCCAACGUUGAAAUACCACCCUGAUGUUGUUGAGGUUCUAACCUAGAUCCAUUAUCUGGAUUGGGGACCGUGUAUGGUAGGCAGUUUGACUGGGGCGGUCUCCUCCCAAAUUGUAACGGAGGAGUACGAAGGUACGCUAGGUACGGUCGGAAAUCGUGCUGAUAGUGCAAUGGCAAAAGCGUGCUUGACUGCGAGACUGACAAGUCGAGCAGAUGCGAAAGCAGGUCAUAGUGAUCCGGUGGUUCUGUAUGGAAGGGCCAUCGCUCAACGGAUAAAAGGUACGCCGGGGAUAACAGGCUGAUUCCUCCCAAGAGUUCAUAUCGACGGGGGAGUUUGGCACCUCGAUGUCGGCUCAUCACAUCCUGGGGCUGUAGCCGGUCCCAAGGGUAUGGCUGUUCGCCAUUUAAAGUGGUACGUGAGCUGGGUUUAAAACGUCGUGAGACAGUUUGGUCCCUAUCUGCCGUGGGCGUUGGAAGUUUGAGUGGACCUGCUCCUAGUACGAGAGGACCGGAGUGGACGCACCUCUGGUGUACCGGUUAUGACGCCAGUCGUAUCGCCGGGUAGCUAUGUGCGGAAGAGAUAACCGCUGAAAGCAUCUAAGCGGGAAACUCUCCUCAAGAUGAGACUUCCCGAGGGUUUAACCCUCCUAAAGGUUCGUCGAAGACUACGACGUUGAUAGGUCGGGUGUGGAAGCAUAGUGAUAUGUUAAGCUAACCGAUACUAAUUGACCGUGAGGCUUGAUCC